AUAAUUUUCUCGGCCUUUUGGCUAAGAUCAAGUGUAGUAUUUGUUCUUAUCAGUUUAACAUCUGAUAUGUGAGUCAUUGAUUUACAUGAUAUUAAAUAUUAAAUUUAUUUUUUGAGGAGGAAGGUUCAUUAAAGUAGCUUGCUACUUGAGUUGUUGUGUGUCGCCCAUGCUUUGCACUAUUGCACUGGCCAGGUGUACCCCAC